rnacentral:lncRNA from 1 species
GCAAAAGCGGGAUGCUAAGCAACUCAGUGAGACCCUGUCUCUAAAUAAAAUAUAAAAUAGGGCUGGGGAUGUGGUUCAGUGGUUGAGUCCCUGAGUUCAAUCUCCCGUACAAAAAAAACAAAAACAGUGGGCUGAGGAUAUAGCUCAUUUGGUAGACUGCUUGCCUCUCAUGCACAAGCCCCUGGGUUUAAUCCCCAGCACCAUACACAAACACACACACAAGCCCCUGGGUUCAAUCCCCAGCACCACACACACACACACACACACACACACACACACACACUCACACUCUGGCUGCUGUAUGGAAAAUUGAUUAAGGGUGAGGCUUUCGGGUAGAAGAGAGGCAAGCUAUAGUAGUACUGUAGCAGGUAAGAGAUGAUGGUGUCUUCAGGGCAUAGUAGCAGGUGGGGACACAAAGCCACGUGUGAGAUGGGUGUUGGAGGUUGAGAUGACACAUCUUUUUUGACACAUUUAAAAAAAAUAUUUAGUUGUGGACGCAUACCUUUAUUUUAUCUUUCUGUGGUGCUGAGGAUCCAACUCAGUGCUUCACAUACGCUAGACGAGCACUCUUUCUCUGAGCCACAACCCCAGUCCCAGAGUUGACACAUCUUACUGAUGGAUUGCUUGUGGAAUGUGAGAAACAGUGGUGACAUAUGGUUUGAGUGGAGGACUCCUGUUUGAGGGUCCAGUAGACACAGGGAAAUUGAGUGUACUAUGAGCUCACUGCUGUGUAUUUGUAUUAUUGCCUGACUGAAGCCAUGGAGUUCGGGGCUAUAUGCACUACCCCUAUUCAGGGGUUUGGGUGGGGCUCUUAGCUGGCCAAUUGGAUUAUCAAAUUUCUGUGGCCAUGAUGAUUUUGGAGGGGUGGGCACAUAAAUUUUGUUAAUCCAGUUAGUUGGAUUUAAAUUUGGGAUUCUUAUUUGAAGCUCUGGAAAAAG